UACGAAGGGGGCUAGCGUUGUUCGGAAUUACUGGGCGUAAACCGCACGUAGGCGGAUCAUUUAGUCAGGGGUGAAAUCCCGGGGCUCAACCUCGGAACUGCCUUUGAUACUGAUGGUCUCGAGUCCGAUAGAGGUGAGUGGAAUUCCUAGUGUAGAGGUGAAAUUCGUAGAUAUUAGGAAGAACACCAGUGGCGAAGGCGGCUCACUGGCCCGAUACUGACGCUGAGGUGCGAAAGCGUGGGGAGCAAACAGG
rnacentral:rRNA from 1 species